UCAGACGAUGCGUCAUGCAUAUCAAUAAGCGGAGGAAAAGAAACUAACAAGGAUUCCCUCAGUAACGGCGAGUGAAGCGGGAAGAGCUCAAAUUUGAAAUCUUCAAGGUUUUACCUUGACGAAUUGUAGUUUAAAGAAGUGUUUUCUGUUGAAGUUUUGGUAAAAGUUCUUUGGAAUAGGACAUCAUAGAGGGUGAGAAUCCCGUAUUUGACCAUUAUUUUCAGCUGUGUGAUACACUUUCAAAGAGUCGGAUUGUUUGGGAAUGCAGUCCAAAAUGGGUGGUAAAUUUCAUCUAAAGCUAAAUAUUGGCGAGAGACCGAUAGCGAACAAGUACCGUGAGGGAAAGAUGAAAAGAACUUUGAAAAGAGAGUUAAACAGUACGUGAAAUUGUCAAAAGGGAAGCGUUUGACACCAGUGUUGUUUUCUCGAAAAUCAAUUAAAAAGAGUUAGAUUUUGUUGUGUAUUGACCUUAACAGCUUGCAUUUCAAUUUACUUGCUUUUUUUAAUGCACUUUUCGUUUAACAAGUCAACAUCAGUUUCUUUUGUUGUAAAAAGGUCAUUGGAAGGUGGCUUUCUUUUCGGAGAAAGUGUUUAUAGCCUUUGACUCCUGCAAUCGGAGAGACUGAGGUCUGCAGCGUAGAUCCUUCGGGGUUAGAUACAUUUGUGCUAAGUUAUAGCUUUUUAUAGACAACUUGUUGACUAUGAUUAGUCUUGUAGCUUACUCGCUUAUGCUAUUUUACCUACGCUUAGGAUGUUGAGUCGUAGAGCACGCAG
rnacentral:rRNA from 1 species